GGGUAGAGCACUGAAUGGGCUAGGGGGCCACAAAGCUUACCGAACCCUAUCAAACUUCGAAUACCGGAUAAUUGAUGAUCGGGAGUCAGACAGUGUGAGAUAAGUUUCAUUGUCGAAAGGGAAACAGCCCAGAUCUACGACUAAGGUCCCAAAGUUCAAGUUAAGUGGAAAAGGAUGUGCAAUUGCGCAGACAACCAGGAUGUUGGCUUAGAAGCAGCCAUUCAUUCAAAGAGUGCGUAAUAGCUCACUGGUCGAGUGAUUGUGCGCCGAAAAUGUAACGGGGCUAAACUUGACACCGAAGUCUAGGCAGAAGGAAACUUCUGGGUAGGGGAGCAACGUGUACGGGCAGAAGCAGAAGCGGAAGCGACUGUGGACUGUACAGGAGAGAGAAUGCCGGCAUGAGUAGCGAGAGCAAAGUGAGAAUCUUUGCCGUCGAAAGCCUAAGGUUUCCUGAGGAAGGCUCGUCCUCUCAGGGUAAGUCGGGACCUAAGCCGAGGACAAUAGUCGUAGGCGAUGGACAAUCGGUUAAUAUUCCGAUACCGCCGAGCAACCGGAUGCAGUGACACAGAAGGAUAGGCAGAGCGUGGCGAUGGUAGACCACGUCCAAGCAGUGAGGCUGUUGUGUAGUGAAGUACGCACAACGGAAGGCUGGGCUGUGAUGGGGAACGAUUACGAUCGGUAAGCUGCUGAAUUCACGCUGGCGAGAAAAGCUGCUACGAAGCGAAGGCGCCCGUACCGCAAACCGACACAGGUAGGCGAGGAGAGAAUCCUAAGACGAGCGGGAGAACCCUUGUUAAGGAACUCGGCAAAAUGACUCCGUAACUUAGGGAGAAGGAGUGCCCAGGAAUGGGCCGCAGAGAAUAGACCCAAGCGACUGUUUACCAAAAACACAGGUCUGUGCGAAGUAGAGAUACGACGUAUACGGGCUGACACCUGCCCAGUGCCGGAAGGUUAAGGGGAAAUGUUAGGGCAACCGAAGCAUGGAACUUAAGCCCCGGUGAACGGCGGCCGUAACUAUAACGGUCCUAAGGUAGCGAAAUUCCUUGUCGGGUAAGUUCCGACCCGCACGAAUGGUGUAACGAUUUGGGUACUGUCUCAACAAGGGACCCGGCGAAAUUGUAGUAUGUGUGAAGAUGCACAUUACCCGCGAUAGGACGGAAAGACCCCGUAGAGCUUUACUGUAGUUUAACAUUGGAUUCCGGUAACAUAUGCACAGGAUAGGUGGGAGGCGGAGAAGCAGUGAUUUCGGUUGCUGCAGAGCCGACGUUGGGAUACCACUCUUGUGUUACUGGGGUUCUAACCUGUGGCCGUGAUCCGGCACAGGAACAGUGUUAGAUGGGCAGUUUGACUGGGGCGGUCGCCUCCAAAAGAGUAACGGAGGCGUCCAAAGGUUCCCUCAGAAUGGUUGGAAACCAUUCGAAGAGUGCAAAGGCAGAAGG
rnacentral:rRNA from 1 species